rnacentral:rRNA from 1 species
GCAUAACGCGAAGAACCUUACCAGGCCUUGACAUGCAGAGAACUUUCCAGAGAUGGAUUGGUGCCUUCGGGAACUCUGACACAGGUGCUGCAUGGCUGUCGUCAGCUCGUGUCGUGAGAUGUUGGGUUAAGUCCCGUAACGAGCGCAACCCUUGUCCUUAGUUACCAGCACGUUAUGGUGGGCACUCUAAGGAGACUGCCGGUGACAAACCGGAGGAAGGUGGGGAUGGACGUCAAGUCAUCGAUGGCCCUUACAGCCUAGGGCUACACACGUGCUACAAUGGUCGGUACAGAGGGUUGCCAAGCCGCGAGGUGGAGCUAAUCCCAGAAACCGAUCGUAGUCCGGAUCGCAGUCUGCAACUCGACUGCGUGAAGUCGGAAUCGCUAGUAAUCGCGAAUC